UACGUAGGGCGCGAGCGUUGUCCGGAAUUAUUGGGCGUAAAGAGCGUGUGGGCGGCCAGGUAGGUCCGCUGUGAAAACUCGAGGCUCAACCUCGAGAUGUCGGCGGAAACCAUCUGGCUAGAGUCCGGAAGAGGAGAGUGGAAUUCCUGGUGUAGCGGUGAAAUGCGCAGAUAUCAGGAAGAACACCCGUGGCGAAGGCGGCUCUCUGGGACGGUACUGACGCUGAGACGCGAAAGCGUGGGGAGCGAACAGG
rnacentral:rRNA from 1 species